UGCGCAGGCGGAUUUAUAAGUCAGUGGUGAAAUCCUACAGCUUAACUGUAGAACUGCCAUUGAUACUGUAGAUCUUGAGUACAUUUGAGGUAGGCGGAAUGUGUGGUGUAGCGGUGAAAUGCUUAGAUAUCACACAGAACACCGAUUGCGAAGGCAGCUUACUAAACUGUAACUGACGCUGAGGCACGAAAGCGUGGGGAGCGAACAGGAUUAGAUACCCUGGUAGUCC
rnacentral:rRNA from 1 species